GAUGAACGCUGGCGGCGUGCUUAACACAUGCAAGUCGAACGAACCUUACGGGUUAGUGGCGGACGGGUGAGUAACGCGUGAGAAUCUGCCCUCAGGAGGGGGAUAACGGCUGGAAACGGCCGCUAAUACCCCAUAUGCCGAGAGGUGAAACGAAUUUCGCCUGAGGAUGAGCUCGCGUCUGAUUAGCUAGUUGGUGGGUAAAAGCCUACCAAGGCGUCGAUCAGUAGCUGGUCUGAGAGGAUGAUCAGCCACACUGGGACUGAGACACGGCCCAGACUCCUACGGGAGGCAGCAGUGGGGAAUUUUCCGCAAUGGGCGAAAGCCUGACGGAGCAACGCCGCGUGAGGGAUGAAGGCCUCUGGGCUGUAAACCUCUUUUCUCAAGGAAGAAGAUCUGACGGUACUUGAGGAAUAAGCCACGGCUAAUUCCGUG
rnacentral:rRNA from 1 species